rnacentral:misc_RNA from 1 species
AGGGGGCACGGUGAGUGGAAGGUACGGAGGGCGACACACCGUGUCCGGUACAAAGCGCGCAUGAGACGGGGCCCUGCCAGGGCCCCCCCCCCUUCCUUGGGAGACUCAGACGGCCGGUCUAUCGCAAUGGUCCGCCACCGGCGGCCGGAGAGGGGUGCGCGAGGCGCGGGUCGGCUCCGUCCGGCCCUCGUCCGCCCUCCUCCCGGCCCCGCGAAGCACACUUUUCCCCGUUACGGCCUCGAUCAGCGGCCAGCCCCCCGUCUCACCACGUUCCCCCGAGCGGGGGAGGUCGCCGCACGUCGCCCUAUGAGCGGCCGCGCCGCGUGGGGUCCCCUCCGGGGGAUACCCACAGCGGAGCGAGACCCGCGUGUAGGAAACCAGCGCGCUGCGGUGGUCCAUCCCACGCCCCGUCCGAGGGCUACCUGGUUGAUCCUGCCAGUAACAUAUGCUUGUCUCAAAGAUUAAGCCAUGCAGGUCUAAGUACACACGGCCGGUACAGUGAAACUGCGAAUGGCUCAUUAAAUCAGUUAUGGUCCCUUUGAUCGCUCCACCCGGUACUUGGAUAACUGUGGCAAUUCCAGAGCUAAUACAUGCAAACGAGCGCCGACCCUCCCUCGCGGGCGGGGACGCGUGCAUUUAUCAGAUCCAAAACCCAUCCGGGGUUGGGGACCCGUCCCCGCCCCGGUCCCUUUGGUGAC